rnacentral:rRNA from 1 species
AUGGAUGUUAAGACUGCUUUCCUAAAUGGAGAGUUGGACGAGGAAAUUUAUAUGGAACAACCAGAUGGGUUUGUACUAGAUGGCUUUGUUGUAAACGAAGCUGACAAAUGUGUGUACUAUCGCCAUGGUGGGGGCGAGGGAGUUAUCCUUUGCUUGUAUGUUGAUGACAUACUGAUUUUCGGAACAAAUCUGAAUGUUAUUAAGGAGGUCAAGGAUUUCCUAUCUCGCUGUUUUGAGAUGAAGGAUUUAGGAGUGGCUGAUGUCAUUUUGAACAUCAAGUUGUUGAGAGGCAAUGAUGGUGGGAUUACAUUGCUUCAAUCUCACUAUGUGGAAAAGAUCUUGAGUCGCUUUGGCUAUAGUGACUGCAAGCCCUCUCCAACACCAUAUGAUGCUAGCGUGCUGCUUCGAAAAAAUCGAAGAAUUGCUAGAGAUCAAUUGAAGUAUUCUCAGAUUAUUGGCUCACUUAUGUACUUAGCCAGUGCUACAAGACCUGACAUCUCUUUUGUUGUUAGCAAACUGAGUCGGUUUGUCUCAAAACCAGGAGAUGUGCAUUGGAAAGCUCUAGAGAGAGUUUUGCAUUAUUUGAAAGGCACUGCAAAUUAUGGAAUUCACUACACUGGGCACCCAAAGGUUCUUGAAGGGUAUAGUGACUCAAACUGGAUCUCAGAUGCUGAUGAGAUAAAGGCCACGAGCGGAUAUGUAUUCACUCAUGGAGGUGGCGUUGUUUCUUGGAAGUCUUGCAAGCAGACCAUCUUAACAAGGUCAACAAUGGAAGCAGAACUCACAGCACUAGAUACAGCUACGGUCGAAGAAGAUUGGUGUCGCCGGCUCUUGAAUGACUUGCCGGUUGUUGAGAAACCUGUACCGGGUAUCCUUAUGAACUGCGACAAUCAAACUGUGAUCACGAAAGUGAGCAGCUCAAAGGAUAACAUGAAGUCAUCAAGACAUGUUCAGAGAAGGUUAAAGUCUGUCAGGAAAAUGAGAAACUCCGGAGUUAUUGCAUUGGAUUAUAUCCAAACGUCUAAAAAUCUGGCAGAUCCUUUUACUAAGGGUCUAUCACGAAUGUGA